rnacentral:rRNA from 1 species
AUUGAACGCUGGCGGCAGGCCUAACACAUGCAAGUCGAGCGGAUGAGUGGAGCUUGCUCCAUGAUUCAGCGGCGGACGGGUGAGUAAUGCCUAGGAAUCUGCCUGGUAGUGGGGGACAACGUUUCGAAAGGAACGCUAAUACCGCAUACGUCCUACGGGAGAAAGCAGGGGACCUUCGGGCCUUGCGCUAUCAGAUGAGCCUAGGUCGGAUUAGCUAGUAGGUGAGGUAAUGGCUCACCUAGGCGACGAUCCGUAACUGGUCUGAGAGGAUGAUCAGUCACACUGGAACUGAGACACGGUCCAGACUCCUACGGGAGGCAGCAGUGGGGAAUAUUGGACAAUGGGCGAAAGCCUGAUCCAGCCAUGCCGCGUGUGUGAAGAAGGUCUUCGGAUUGUAAAGCACUUUAAGUUGGGAGGAAGGGUUGUAGAUUAAUACUCUGCAAUUUUGACGUUACCGACAGAAUAAGCACCGGCUAACUCUGUGCCAGCCGCCGCCGUAAAAC